UCUCCUCUAGAUGACAGCGCUCAAAUAAUUAUUUAGCGCUCAAAUUUCCUUCCCGCCAGAAUUAUUAAUAUUCUGCGGGACGUUACAUCGAACGACAUCACGUAUCUCCUAUCAAUUUAGCUGCGCAUCUGAUAACAAAGCUUAUAGAUCCAUCGCAAAGUUUGCACUUACGUAAUUAUGCGAUAUUGUUGAAGUUUCAUACAGAUUGAUCCUACAUUUCAAGCGAUUUCACGAUUUAACAGCGCGAAAAUAGAUAAUGCGAGCUGAGAAGUGAUCAAAACAAUGCAAUCUUGGAUAAAAAAAAAUAUCUUAAGAACGGUAAAAUAAAAGAGGAAGUCUCAUCUCUGGUUGCAGAAACGCAGACCAUUUCUAUUGAAUAAAUUGAGGGAUGACGCGACGACGGCGAGACAUUCGUGCAAGCAGCAUUUUGACAGGCGGAACAAUGCCGACGUCAUGUGGUAUCAAAACGUCUAUUAAAUCUGCUACACUAGAAAUCCAUUAUGGAAAAUUGGGAUAGUAAAUAGUUAGUAAAUAGUUAGAG